CUACAUAAGUACUUCUGAUGGGCUUCAUCAGCCAGCUGACCUCUUGGGGUCAAACCAAGGAAGCAGAGCCUGCCCUGGGCCCUGAGAUGGUUCUUGAUACUAGAGCACAGAACGGCUUCCUGCUGUGUCUAAGAAAUACGGCUUAGCCAGGCUUCAGCUGGGCUGCAGUGUUAAAUGUCUUAGGUUUCAAGUUGGUACCAGCUGCACUGAAGGGAAAUGGUUGGGGAAAUUCUCCCAUUUGGCUUCUUUCCACAUGGAGGAUGGCUAAAGGAAGAGAGAGCUUAGAGCUGCUGUGCUGGUGCUGAUGCCUUAAAAAUAAUGAUAUAAACACAGCCACAGAGGUUGGCCUGUGGAGUCCCUGAUGGGGACCAGAGAAGAAAUGUUGUCCUGACUUACCCUUCAACCCAUGCUCUGCAAACAGAAGUGACCCAGCCCUCAUCUAUCACCUCUGAAGCUAAACAACUUCCCCAGAUGGCCCCAUGGAGCAUAAAUCAAGAGGGCCCUAGCUUCCAAGAAACCUGUACACAAUUGCAGCCCUCAGAAAUACUUGUUCUCAGAUUCUUUCUUCCUCUAUGUUCAGAAUACGGUGCUAGCAAGUCAUAAUCCCAGAUGAAUAUAGCAGAUCAUCUUAAGCAUGUCACUCAGUUUCUCUGAGCCUGGAUCCUCACCUUUAAACGGGGAUCAUGUCACGUCUGCCUCAUGGGUUUGAGGUGGAAAUUAAAUGAGAUAAUUCAAGGAGAGUGCUUAGUUCAGUGCCUUGAUGAAUGUUAGCUUCUAUAUCACCAUUAUUUCAUUAGCUGAAGCCCACUCUUAGGUACAAAGACAGAAAACGAACAAACAAAUAACAGCGAUUCUAAUUGUAAUCCCAAACACGAAGGGCUGUGGGCUACAGCCUCAAUGAUUUCAUAACACACAAAGCUUCUGUCUCCUGCUUACUCUCAUGCCAAAUCUGUGCCAGAUCUGGUUAUACGUGGUAACCUCAGUGGCCUCCAAGUUGUUUAAAUUCUCACAGAGAAUCCCAAUGGAUACUCAGACCUGCUGAAGCCGAGACAAAUUCAAACAUGCUGGGCUGGCAGUGAAAUGUAGGAUAAGAAAUCAUCACAAAGAAAGUCUGUUCACAUUCUAAAAGUGCCUGAAGAACCAUGGUUUGUACAGAGAGCCCUCCUCUCAGAUGGGCAGCUCACAGAUUCUUUCCUCUCGUACUUAUUCCACAAUACCACAUCACACCCCUAACAAACAUGUUUUGCUCCCAACUGAACAGGUAAAGACAUGACGGCAUUUCUGUUUUAAAGCUAUUGAAUGCCAAAGCCUUUGCUUCUGCUCACGUGUCCUAACCUUCCCUGCCUGGGAAUUGGAUCUGGGGUAAUGGGUGACCCAGCAGGCACAAAGAUGACAGAUUCCUGCAUCAUGUAGCAACGCCGGGACAACCUGGGGCAUCUGGCCUGGCUGGCAGGCGGGCAGGCUGGGAGGGGCAGCUCUUCCAGCCCUGACAAUGACUGCAACUCCUAUGCCUGAGAAGUCCUUAGAAGCCCAAGAAAGAAGAGGGCUGGGGCCCAGCUUAAUCACAAGGGUCCUGUGCCAGGAAGGCAGAGGGUCAGAGUUAGAGAGGAAUGUGACGAUGGAAAGAAAGCUUAGAGUGAUGCGCCUGGAAGACAGUCGAAGGACCACAAGCCAAGGAACGCAGGUGGCCUCCAGAAGCCGGAAAAGACAAGCAGCUGCAUUCUCCCCAAGAGUCUCCAGGAGGAACAUACCCUUGCCGACACCUUGAUUUUGGCCUCAUGAGACUUCUGACCUCCAGAAAGGUAUAAAGAAAGGAGAAUGGAAUGACUUGGUUUAACACUACACUAUUUUCAAAGAGUAGCAGACUCCUAAUGGGGUUGUCAUGUAAAAGUGGACGUAAAAAUUAAGCUGAUGUUGCCAGGUGCCUUCCCUAAGGGCCCAGAGUGGGCCCACAAUAUGGAUCCUGUGCCACGUGAGGCAGAGGGCAGAAAAUGGCAGCUGACAAAGGCAAAGUCAAUGACCCUCAGCGUCUGAGUGGAGGAAGGUGACAAAACAACACCAUGGGGGGCCAAAGAUGUCAAGACAAGAUGAAAGGAAGGACUGGUGGAACAUGGCACUUGGCAAGACUGGUAGUGCUUUUUAUUUACUUAUUUCAUUUCAUUUUAUUUUUUUGGCCACACCACGUGGCUUGUGGGAUCCUAGAUCCCCAACCAGGGAUCAAACCUGAGCC